CUAUCUACCCACUGUAUCAGGUAGUGUGACAUAUAUAUUAACAUGUAUCAGGAUUUGGGACUGCGAUCAAACUUUUGCUCUCUAGACUUAAUAAGACGCCUUUACUUGUGCAAUCCUGAGAGAAAGUCUUUCUAGACUUAAAAACAGAGCACGUGUAUAAUGUCACACAAAUGCAGCAAUGAUUAGAGAAGUUUAGCAAGCUGAUGAUUAAAUUAUUACCUCAAGGGAAGAAGAUUCUCGGUUGUGCCGUUUAGUGCCU
rnacentral:lncRNA from 1 species